UUUUUAUUUUUUUUAUUUUAUCUUUGGGUUCUUAUUUUAUCUUUGGUAAUAAAUAAAGCACUAAAAUUUUCAUGAAUUUUCAGACAGGAAAUUCCAUUUGAUAUCAACUCAGAAUAAUAGUCUGAAACAAUCCCUUAAAGUUUUUGUUACAGUGUCACUAACAUCAUGUAUACUAAGCUGAACGUUCUCUUAAUACUGUAGAAAUUCAGCUGCAGGAAGUAUUUUAGUAGUAUUAUCAAUUCAGUUAAGUACCUAAACCUGGUAAGGUCCGGAGUAUCAGAUACAAUAGUUAUACAAUAGAAUAGAAUAGGCUAGUUUCCAACUAGUCAAAACAGUUACUUUUUAAUAAACGUCAAAACACAAAAUUACUAUGGAUUUUGUAUGCAAAAGCACACUGUGACGUCAUAGAAAAACGUGAGCCUACCUACCUUCUGUCAGAGUACUGCGGGGCGGAAGGCAAGAGGGAAACCACUGCCCUAUUUUUCCCUAAAAAGUAGCAUGGAGAAUGCUACACCGACACGAGCGCGGCUCUUAAAUUGAUGAUCUUGAACCUAGUACAGUCAUGAGUAAUAUAAUGUACCCACUUUAGGACUCUGUCGCACUAACAUAUUUGACGUUUAGUGAGACUUACAUUUCAAUUUGUCAAAAAAGUUAAUGUGACAUGGUACCAAAGUGUAUACAUAUUAAUGCUCGUGACCGUACACAACCCAAUUAAAAAGGUAUCUGCCUCACGAACUCAGUACGUAAAAAAGGUCUACUGCGUUCUUUUUUAAUCUGAGAACAUAAACAAAUAUAAUAAAAUCACAAAUUGUAAUUAAGUGAGUUUGAAUGUCACCUCAAUUUAAAAUGUCCAUUUCGAACUACUUCGAAUCGUAUUUAUAAAAUAAGAAAUUAAUCCGAACAGUGUUUCUCCGCUUUUUAGAAAAACCCACACGAAUGUGUUAAUGUAAUUUGUUAUAUUCUAGGUAAUACUUAUAUUUAUCACUUCAACCAUUAAGCUAUUAACCAUUAAGUUAUGUCAGAGGCCUUUGGUGGCUCAAUAGUAGCCCUCACAGGGUUGAUAAGGUCGGUCAUCGACCCCAUAACUCAUACGACUGAAGAUCUCUUCAACACUGAAGUGGAAGUAGAAAAAAAACUCGAACUACUUAGCUUCUCGAGGAUAUUAUACAAGUUUUCUUGUACACUACAUCUAUCUAUCUAGUAUCUUUAACCAAUCUUAUCUAUAUGAGUGGUGAAUUGUCACCAUAUCAUCACCUCUCUAGCGUUGUCCUGUUUCCCACAGGGUCCGCUUGCCUAACCUGCAGAUUUGACAGGUCCGAUUUGGUACAGAAGCGACUGCCUGACCUUCCACCUUGGAGGGAAACCCCCAUUACAGAUGUCACGAACCUCCGAAAACACAUUUCUCAGGUAUAUGGGAUUCCUCACGAUGUUUUCCUUUACCUCUUAACGCAUGAUAAUCAUUAAAGAUUCAAAUAUGAGUUCGAAACACGUACCUCGAUUUGAACCGGCGACAUCACAAUGAGAGUCAAGCGUUCGUCCAAUUAGGCUAACACAGCUACACAUUAAUUCCUUCUGACGACUUGUAGGUCUAAAUGACCAGAGUAUAUUAAUAAAAUAAACCAUACCCUACAAUCCUGAAUGACCUUCUUUCCACUGCCCAAAUGAUAAUAAUAAAUAAUAAUAAGCUACAAAAAUUGCCGCAUAAAGUACCUUUUUUUUUGGAAGGGCGGGUAAAAGGCGAAUGAUGACAGUCGAUCAUACCUUUAACGUGUCUUUAGUGAGGCAACGCCGUCAUUAUUGACUUGCUAUAAUUAUCUGCGAGGCGACGAUUGUGUUGACAAGCUUGGUAGUGCUGUAAGUUAUGAAACGCAGCGGGUUUGAGAAAAUCUUGCAUCAAACAUAGCAUCACAUCUUUAUCCCCGAAGGCAGAGGUGCACUCCUCGCCAGCUAUGUUUUAAACCCAUAUAUUACGGGGUGAGAGCCGUAGUAAUCCAGUUGCUUGCCUCUCACUUUGACGUCACAGGUUCAAAUCCAGCACAGUCGUAAACCAAUGAUUGUCGAAUUUGUUUCCGAAUUCAUAUUUGGAUCAUAAAUGAUUAUCACGAGCUCAGGUGAGGAAACCCACAUUCCCGAGAAAUGCAUUUUCGGAGGUAUGUGACCUAACCUGCAUUGGGCUGGUUUUGCCUUCGCGGGUUGGAAGGUCAGAGAGGCAGUCGCUUCUGUAAGAAACCGGACCUGUCAAAUCUUCAGGUUACGUAAACGGACCCUGUGAAAAACGUGAAAACCAUAGGGAGAUGAUGAUAAGUGAAGGCAAGUGAGGUCGGUUUCCCACUUCACAGCUCUUUCGAGACAAGAAGAAGAGAGAGAAAGAGAGAGAGAGAGAAAAUGUUUAUUCAACAAAUUGUGACACAUUACAUACGAAGUGUUACAAAUAGAGUAAAAACAACAAAAUAUCAUAAAACAAUUUUUAAAACUCAGUACAUAUUGUGGCACAGCAGUGAAUAGGACACGAACUCAGCAUUGUGUCUAUUUCCGAAGAAACAGACGCUGUUUUUCAGUCGCUCCGAAGAAGCAUAACUAGAUUCGCUUUCCGCUAUUUACUUACAUGGUAUAAAAAACAAUUAUAACGUAUUAAACCAUCAGUAUGCCAUAGCAAUGGGCGCAAGGAAUCCAGUCUGACAAGUUACUCUCGCACAGUACGAUUAUUAAUAAAAAAAAACACCUCGGUUUUGUUGUACCGCCGGCAUAAGAAUAUUCAGUUGACGUACAUACCAGAGGUCCGGGUUUGGAUCCCGGUUGAGUACAGGAAAUUAACUUUUGUUUGACUCGAUUCUAACGGCCUCACAAAUAAAAAUUCCAUCCUUAUUUCAAGAUUAUACUAGGAAUCGUUAAACCUGGUAUAAGCCUAGGGACAUACAUGAUAAUAAGGAGAUAAUUUAAAAAAUCCGAGAAGAAACCAAAAAAUCACAUCUGUCAAUGUCAGUCAGUUUUAGGUUAUUCCGAACUUAAACCUUAUUGAAACAUGUCUCAUAUGUGUUAGUAAACUUAUUCUAGAUGUUGGUAGCCUUAUCUAAUAUUAGAUGCUAUGACAUGCAAGUCACAGCAUCUACGCAGAUACGGGCAGUCGAGUCGCGCACCUAUCAUCGAGAGGGCGGGGUUGCCGCUGCCCCGCACCCUGCGCACCAGAGACGUGCAUCGCUUCCUCAUAGUCAUAUAAAAGCAGUCGACGCGAGCUUCAGCGAACAUGCCCGAGGCGCUACAGAAGCGAGGCAGCCGCAAUAACACCCUAAAAGCGUUGUUGAACUGGACGCGGAUGGCGCUGUAUGCUAUUUGCUUAUUUGUAGAUCGUGCUUAUUCUUAGGUUAUGAUCGGUAUAAAAAGUUACACAGGGUUUAUUUGUAAGGCCGUUAGACUUUAUGCAUCAAAUAGAAGUAAGGACGCGUGAUGGAGUAUGCUCUACAGCAACGGCGGUGUCCUCUCUCGUGAGCUGGAAUGGAGUUGGCUAAGCCAAUAUCAUCCUGCAGAUGAUCGGUGAUAGGCUGGACUGUCCUUAUCUCCGGCAUUGCGGCGACAGACAUGUGCCUGUACCGAUGCCAGUGAGAAGGUACUAAUAUAAAUUUUAACCUAUUUUGUGAUCAUUGAAUAAAAGAAAGAAAUAAAUAAAUAAAUUGUUUUAUAUUAUAAUAUUUUAUUUUAUUAUUUUUUAUUAUAUUUUAUUUGAUUUUAUUUUGUAUAUUAUUUAAAUUUAUUUGAAUGUUUUAUUAUGUAAAUUAUGGAUCAUUGUCAUCUGAAAUAAAGCAAUUUAUUAUUAUUAAAGCCGAACUUUGUAUUAAACAGCCGGCCACAUUGAAGGCUGAAUAGCUGUCCAUCCGUGUAAAAAAAACAUACUUAUUUACUUCCCAAAAGAAGAGAAGUAUAGAGAAUAAAAUUAGGUAACUUAUCUAGAAACCCAGAGUGGUAAGCUCUGGCUCUCAAUCUUGGAAUAAAUCUAUACCUUGGUUAACAGUACAAGACUGUGGACAAAAGUUAUGAACUAGAAUUAUGUCUAAGCCUUAAGUUUAAGCUGUUGUUAAAGGGCUUAGGAUGUACCUUGCGUUUUUGGUGUUUUUAGUCGAGAUCUAAGCAACUGAACUGAACGAUUUGAAUGCGCUUUUUUGUUUAAUAGUUGAAGUAGAGUCAACCCUUAAUACGUGCAUAAUAUGAGUGAUUGUACAUGUACUUAUGUGGAAAUAUCUUACAACUAUUGUUAACAUAUGAUGUAUAAUUGUUUGUUAUCCCAUGAAAAUAAAUAAAUACAUAAUGCUCUUUGGUUGAAGUGA